rnacentral:rRNA from 1 species
ACUUAGUGGCGGACGGGUGAGUAACGCGUGGAUAACCUGCCUUACACUGGGGGAUAACACUUAGAAAUAGGUGCUAAUACCGCAUAAGCGCACAGAGCCGCAUGGCUCAGUGUGAAAAACUCCGGUGGUGUAAGAUGGAUCCGCGUCUGAUUAGCUAGUUGGCGGGGUAGAAGCCCACCAAGGCGACGAUCAGUAGCCGGCCUGAGAGGGUGAACGGCCACAUUGGGACUGAGACACGGCCCAAACUCCUACGGGAGGCAGCAGUGGGGAAUAUUGCACAAUGGGGGAAACCCUGAUGCAGCAACGCCGCGUGAGUGAAGAAGUCAUUCGUGAUGUAAAGCUCUAUCAGCAGGGAAGAAAAUGACGGUACCUGAGUAAGAAGCCCCGGCUAACUACGUGCCAGCAGCCGCGGUAAUACGUAGGGGGCAAGCGUUAUCCGGAUUUACUGGGUGUAAAGGGAGCGUAGACGGCCAGACAAGUCUGAAGUGAAAAUCCAGCGCUUAACGUUGGAAGUGCUUUGGAAACUGCCGGGCUAGAGUGCAGGAGGGGCAGGCGGAAUUCCUAGUGUAGCGGUGAAAUGCGUAGAUAUUAGGAGGAACACCAGUGGCGAAGGCGGCCUGCUGGACUGCAACUGACGUUGAGGCUCGAAGGCGUGGGGAGCAAACAGGAUUAGAUACCCUGGUAGUCCACGCGGUAAACGAUGAUUACUAGGUGUCGGGGGGCUAGAGCCCUUCGGUGCCGUCGCAAACGCAAU